CUCGGUGAUUUGAGCGAGUCGGUUCCACCUGAUCCCAUCCCGAACUCAGAAGUGAAACGGCUUAGCGGGGACGAUAAUGUAUCCGAAAGGUUAUGUGAAAAUACCUCAUUGCCGGGA
rnacentral:rRNA from 6 species